GACGAACGCUGGCGGCGUGCUUAACACAUGCAAGUCGAACGAAGAGCGACGGAAGCUUGCUUCUAUCAAUCUUAGUGGCGAACGGGUGAGUAACGCGUAAUCAACCUGCCCUUCAGAGGGGGACAACAGUUGGAAACGACUGCUAAUACCGCAUACGAUCUAACCUCGGCAUCGAGGAUAGAUGAAAGGUGGCCUCUACAUGUAAGCUAUCACUGAAGGAGGGGAUUGCGUCUGAUUAGCUAGUUGGAGGGGUAACGGCCCACCAAGGCGAUGAUCAGUAGCCGGUCUGAGAGGAUGAACGGCCACAUUGGGACUGAGACACGGCCCAGACUCCUACGGGAGGCAGCAGUGGGGAAUCUUCCGCAAUGGACGAAAGUCUGGCGGAGCAACGCCGCGUGAGUGAUGACGGCCUUCGGGUUGUAAAGCUCUGUUAAUCGGGACGAAAGGCCUUCUUGCGAAUAGUGAGAAGGAUUGACGGUACCGGAAUAGAAAGCCACGGCUAACUACGUG
rnacentral:rRNA from 1 species